UACGAAGGGUGCAAGCGUUACUCGGAAUUACUGGGCGUAAAGCGCACGUAGGCGGAUCGAUCAGUCAGGGGUGAAAUCCCAGAGCUCAACUCUGGAACUGCCUUUGAUACUGUCGGUCUAGAGUAUGGAAGAGGUGAGUGGAAUUCCGAGUGUAGAGGUGAAAUUCGUAGAUAUUCGGAGGAACACCAGUGGCGAAGGCGGCUCACUGGUCCAUUACUGACGCUGAGGUGCGAAAGCGUGGGGAGCAAACAGG
rnacentral:rRNA from 1 species